UACGUAGGGUGCGAGCGUUGCCCGGAUUUAUUGGGCGUAAAGGGCGCGUAGGCGGCUCGGCACGUCCGUUGUGAAAUCGCCCGGCUCAACUGGGCGGGGUCAGCGGAUACGGCCGAGCUUGAGCAAGCUAGGGGGCAAUGGAAUUCCCGGUGUAGUGGUGGAAUGCGUAGAUAUCGGGAGGAACACCAGUGGCGAAGGCGGUUGCCUGGAGCUUUGCUGACGCUGAUGCGCGAAAGCUAGGGGAGCAAACAGG
rnacentral:rRNA from 1 species